rfam:Orientia tsutsugamushi str. TT76 ut76.contig.47_1, whole genome shotgun sequence.
AAAGACCAGUUAUGGAAGGAGAAGCUAGAUCCACCAUAUAGCGAGUCUUGUGCUGCUGAAGGUAACGACAGUAGUAAAGCGUAGACAGCGAAAUAUUCGAGCUGAAACCAAAUGGUGAACGUUAUAGCCCUGAAAGUGAGGUGUAGUGGAAGCCGAUAUGUUCUAGCCAUAGUAGGCAAAAGAAGAUUGGAGGUCAAACUAGUGAAAAUUCAAAAAUUUUCAACCACCGGGGUCGCAGGAGU